UUGGAACAUAGAAAUCUGAUAAUUAAUAAAAUAUCUAAUAUAAAUUAUUUACAUCAAAAAUCUUGAAUGAGAUUUGAGAAUCUGGUGAGAAAAUUAAAGGGAAUAAGGGACAUGGAUGCCGGGAAAUAGUCAUGCAAGUUAACCUGAGAUUUAACUUCUCACUUGAAGGAACUGUUAACUUCCAUUAAUUAAAAAAACAAUCCUGUGAGUAUGUAUUCAGUUAUACU
rnacentral:lncRNA from 1 species